CCCAGGAGCCGCUGGCAGCUGAGGGGGUCACAUCUUAUGAAGGUGCCAGAUGACAGCGAGUGUCCUCCAGUGUCAUUACUGUGUGUCCAAGUGUCUCUACGUUGAUUGGGGUCAGUCAUCCUGAAGUCAGAUACAUGCAGAAGGAAAUCACCGGACAAAUGCCUGGGUUUGUAAAAGGGCUACUAUUCCAUAAUGGAGCUUCGGUAUUUUUCUAAGGCUUUACUGUC